UACGUAGGGUGCGAGCGUUGUCCGGAAUUAUUGGGCGUAAAGGGCUCGUAGGCGGUUUGUCGCGUCGGGAGUGAAAUCCACUGGCUUAACUGGUGGCUUGCUUUCGAUACGGGCAGACUGGAGGUAUGCAGGGGAGAACGGAAUUCCUGGUGUAGCGGUGAAAUGCGCAGAUAUCAGGAGGAAGACCAGUGGCGAAGGCGGGUCUCUGGACAGUUCCUGACACUGAGGCACGAAGGCCAGGGGAGCAAACGGG
rnacentral:rRNA from 1 species